CGUGUAGGCGGCUUGAUAAGUCAGAUGUGAAAGCCCCGGGCUUAACCCGGGAAGUGCAUUUGAAACUGUUGAGCUUGAGUAGGGGAGAGGGAAGCGGAAUUCCUGGUGUAGAGGUGAAAUUCGUAGAUAUCAGGAGGAACACCGGUGGCGAAGGCGGCUUCCUGGCCCUAUACUGACGCUGAGACGCGAGAGCGUGGGUAGUAAACAGGAUUAGAUACCCUGGUAGUCC
rnacentral:rRNA from 1 species